rnacentral:lncRNA from 1 species
UUAUUCCUAGUUAAUCUAUUUAUUAUCCUAAACAGAAACACAUAAAGUUAACGUAUUCAAAUUCGAAUCUUAGACAUAUUGUAUUGGUUUUACUAAUACUACGAGUACAAGAAGUUUUGAAGAGUCGAUUAACAAAAUUAUGAAUUUCGGUAUCAGUGUCUUCAUUUACAACAAUUUGAUUAACCGCCGAUUCCACUGAAGUCUAUAAUACAGGUAAUUAUUUGUAGAUAAUUGAUGUUAAUUUCAAAUCAUUUAAGGAUUAGUUACAUUUAGACAAAAUUGCAAAAAUGGUCCCUGUGGUAUGCAAAAUUUUGGGGUUUUAGUCCAAACCACGAGUUUUUUGGAACCAUAGUCCUUUUUGAGUGGUUUCUAUGUGGUUUUGGUCCCUGGACUUAACUCCCGUUAAGUUGGAACUGUUAAGCCCCCUCACGUGCCUCACACGUGAGGGUAAUUUCGUCAUUUCAUAUGUCAGGGACCAUUUUUGCAUAAACGUUUUUUUUGGAUUAAUUGACAUUUACCCCUCAUUUACUUUCCCCAACACUCGUCAACUCCCCAACUCCCUCCUUGCUUCUGCUCCAUUGAACCUGCAAAAAACCCUCGUUGCUUAUCCAAACAAGAUAAUCGACACNCUUAUCUAAACAAGAUAAUCGACACUACACAUAUAAGGGCAUACGUUUAAUAGGAAAUGGUGUUCGUAAUGUGGCAUAUCAGACCAAAACACGAAGUUGUUGAUGUAUCAACUGUAUAUGGUAAGCUGCUCUGUUUUCUUUAACUUUUAUACUUUGCAUUUUCUUAUUGAUUUAGAACAAAAAAAUGCAAAAUUUUAACUUUGUUAAUAUGUAUAAUUUUGAUUUUUAGCUGGUGCACCCACAUGGUUUAGUAUUAAGCUUCAUCACGGUGGGAAAUUUACUAAAUUACCUGAUAUAAAGUACAUUGGAGGUGAAGUGCGUUAUGUUGAUUAUGUGGACAUUGAUGAGUUUUCUGUGCAUGAACUUGAUGCCAUAAUGCUUGACCUAGGUUACCCAGACCCACGGAAUUCUGAAUUCGCUGAUGAAUCCCCAGUUAUAUACUAC